UAUUAAAAAUUUCAUUCAUUUGUACUUUUAAAAAUUAAUGUGACUAACGAAAUAACAAUAUAGUGAUGCAUGUUGUGCAAUGUGUCCAAGAACCAGGUUUUAACUGUAAAAAUGGAUGAAAUUUUUAACA
rfam:Gossypium hirsutum cultivar TM-1 chromosome 19, whole genome shotgun sequence